rnacentral:rRNA from 1 species
AGGGAAUCUUCCGCAAUGGACGAAAGUCUGACGGAGCAACGCCGCGUGAGUGAAGAAGGCCUUCGGGUCGUAAAGCUCUGUUGCCGGGGAAGAACAAGUGCCGUUCGAACAGGGCGGUGCCUUGACGGUACCCGGCCAGAAAGCCACGGCUAACUACGUGCCAGCAGCCGCGGUAAUACGUAGGUGGCAAGCGUUGUCCGGAAUUAUUGGGCGUAAAGCGCGCGCAGGCGGCUUCGUAAGGCGGAUGUGAAAUCUUGCGGCUCAACCGCAAGCGGUCAUUGGAAACUGGGAGGCUUGAGUGCAGAAGAGGAGAGUGGAAUUCCACGUGUAGCGGUGAAAUGCGUAGAGAUGUGGAGGAACACCAGUGGCGAAGGCGGCUCUCUGGUCUGUAACUGACGCUGAGGCGCGAAAGCGUGGGGAGCAAAC